AUGUAGCGUUCGCACAAUCCGGCUCGGAUGCGUCUUCCGCUCCCACCUGACGACCGCUCGCUACGUUCCGUAGCG
rnacentral:sRNA from 1 species